GCAGAGGUAGCCUAGCGGUACGGCGAUAGCCUGGAGAGCUAUUGUGCGUAAGCACUCGCGAGUUCGAAUCUCGCCCUCUGCGCCA
rnacentral:tRNA from 1 species